CCAACAUCCACUAUAAUGACUCAUUGAGUCAAUGUUUAUGUGUAGUCAAAUUCUAGCAGCCUCACUGUGAGCAACUAUGGUACCGCAGGUUAAAGGACCAGUCAUACUACUGCAGCAUCAAGAAAGUCACUAACGAAUAAGCAGACAUCUAUGUGACUUCUCGUAUUGGUCAUACUCAGUACUAGUUAUUCUCUAACAACCAUCUACACUCUCGCUCCAGUGUCACUACACCACAGACUCGAGACUCAUCUAUCCGAAAAAAGUGAUCCGUACACUGGUCUAUCUAGAUCAAUCACCAUCCAUGAUGAUCCUAUGAUCACGAGCAAUUUAUGAAUUAACCAUCAAUGACACAUAUCUCAAAUUCUCAACUCUUUGAAAAUAUGUGUCAUUAUCUUGUUAAUCCCUUGGAUGAUUCAUAGACACAUAAAAUAUGAAUGGUAAUAUAAGUGUCCUUUAAGUACAAAAUCAUGUCCUAAUAAUAUAAUAUGCAUCAGCCAAGAUUGGUUUCUAAGACAUACAUCCAACAGUCUCCUAUUUGUACUAAAGCCAAUCUAUCAUAUACCAAGCCCCAUCUUCUUAAGACAGGCUUUAGUCUUCGGCUAGCUAAGUAAGUUAUCAAUGGGUUAUCCACAUCUUAUGUAAAGUUUGCUCUCUGCACCUUUAUGUAUUUCUACUUGAGGUAG
rnacentral:lncRNA from 1 species